rnacentral:rRNA from 1 species
AUUGAACGCUGGCGGCAGGCCUAACACAUGCAAGUCGAGCGGAGCGGCGGACGGGUGAGGAAUGCCUAGGAAUCUGCCUGGUAGUGGGGGAUAACGUCCGGAAACGGGAGCUAAUACCGCAUACUAUCAGAUGAGCCUAGGUCGGAUUUGCUAGGUGGUGGGGUAAAGGUCUACCAGGGAGACGAUCCGUAACUGGUCUGGGAGGAUGAUCAGUCACACUGGAACUGAGACACGGUCCAGACUCCUACGGGAGGCAGCAGUGGGGAAUAUUGGACAAUGGGCUAAAUCCUGAUCCAGCCAUGCCGCGUGUGUUAAGAAGGUCUUCGGAUUGUAAAGCACUUUAAGUUGGGAGGCGUUACCAACAGAAUAAGCACCGGCUAACUUCGUGCCAGCAGCCGCGGUAAUAC